rnacentral:rRNA from 1 species
UACGUAGGGUGCUAGCGUUGUCCGGAAUUAUUGGGCGUAAAGAGCUCGUAGGCGGUCUGUCGCGUCGAAUGUGAAAACCCGGGGCUCAACUCCGGGCUUGCAUUCGAUACGGGCAGGCUAGAGUUCGGUAGGGGAGUCUGGAAUUCCUGGUGUAGCGGUGAAAUGCGCAGAUAUCAGGAGGAACACCGGUGGCGAAGGCGGGUCUCUGGGCCGAUACUGACGCUGAGGAGCGAAAGCGUGGGGAGCGAACAGG